GCCGCUGUAGCUCAGACUAUCAAGGUAGGAGCAAUGGCUAGAGCAGCUGUUUUGUAAACAGCAGGUCGCCGGUUCAAAUCCGGUCAGCGGCU
rnacentral:tRNA from 1 species